AUUGAACGCUGGCGGCAGGCCUAACACAUGCAAGUCGAGCGGAUGAAGGGAGCUUGCUCCUGGAUUCAGCGGCGGACGGGUGAGUAAUGCCUAGGAAUCUGCCUGGUAGUGGGGGAUAACGUCCGGAAACGGGCGCUAAUACCGCAUACGUCCUGAGGGAGAAAGUGGGGGAUCUUCGGACCUCACGCUAUCAGAUGAGCCUAGGUCGGAUUAGCUAGUUGGUGGGGUAAAGGCCUACCAAGGCGACGAUCCGUAACUGGUCUGAGAGGAUGAUCAGUCACACUGGAACUGAGACACGGUCCAGACUCCUACGGGAGGCAGCAGUGGGGAAUAUUGGACAAUGGGCGCAAGCCUGAUCCAGCCAUACCGCGUGGGUGAAGAAGGCCUUCGGGUUGUAAAGCCCUUUUGUUGGGAAAGAAAAGCAGCAGGUUAAUACCCCGCUGUUCUGACGGUACCCAAAGAAUAAGCACCGGCUAACUUCGUG
rnacentral:rRNA from 1 species